ACGGGUGAGUAAUGUCUGGGGAUCUGCCCGAUAGAGGGGGAUAACCACUGGAAACGGUGGCUAAUACCGCAUAACGUCGCAAGACCAAAGAGGGGGACCUUCGGGCCUCUCACUAUCGGAUGAACCCAGAUGGGAUUAGCUAGUAGGCGGGGUAAUGGCCCACCUAGGCGACGAUCCCUAGCUGGUCUGAGAGGAUGACCAGCCACACUGGAACUGAGACACGGUCCAGACUCCUACGGGAGGCAGCAGUGGGGAAUAUUGCACAAUGGGCGCAAGCCUGAUGCAGCCAUGCCGCGUGUAUGAAGAAGGCCUUCGGGUUGUAAAGUACUUUCAGCGGGGAGGAAGGCGACGGGGUUAAUAACCCUGUCGAUUGACGUUACCCGCAGAAGAAGCACCGGCUAACUCCGUGCCAGCAGCCGCGGUAAUACGGAGGGUGCAAGCGUUAAUCGGAAUUACUGGGCGUAAAGCGCACGCAGGCGGUCUGUUAAGUCAGAUGUGAAAUCCCCGGGCUUAACCUGGGAACUGCAUUUGAAACUGGCAGGCUUGAGUCUUGUAGAGGGGGGUAGAAUUCCAGGU
rnacentral:rRNA from 1 species